rnacentral:rRNA from 1 species
GACGAACCGUGCGAACGUUGUUCGGAAUCACUGGGCUUAAAGGGCGCGUAGGCGGGCUACCAAGUCUGUGGUGAAAUCCUCCAGCUUAACUGGAGAACGGCCGUGGAUACUGGGAGCCUCGAGGGAGAUAGGGGCAGGCGGAACUGAUGGUGGAGCGGUGAAAUGCGUUGAUAUCAUCAGGAACUCCGGUGGCGAAGGCGGCCUGCUGGAUCUCAUCUGACGCUGAGGCGCGAAAGCCAGGGGAGCAAACGGG